GAAGGUGCUUGGACAUGGUAGAGAGUAGUCCUUUUAGGUAUAAAGUAGCGAAAGUGCAAGGUAGCGAAAACACCGGAUACCAUUUAAUUAAUAAUGAGAUUUUCUUUCACAUAUUUUUUUACUAGAUGACAGUACAGCGAUAGUCAACUUACUUAUAGCUUUCAUUGCUUUCUUUUUUACUGUCUUGGCAAUUGCCUAUUUUUGUUAUACUAAAAGGAGGAAAUCAAGAGCAGAGGCACCCACAACUGCUAAUAUUGAGAAUCCGCAACCUCUGCAAGUCAUGCCAGAAUGUGUUCAACAGAGGAAUCCAAGAGCUGAGGCACACACAAUUGCUAAUAUUGAGAAUCCGCAACCUCUGCAAGUCAGGCCAGAAUGUGCCAACGCUAACGGCACAGUCAGUGAAGAUCCUUAAAAAGGAAAGAAGAACAAUAAUUGAAGAAAGUGAGAGUCCAGGUAGAAAGAAUGCCUGAGGUUGGACAUCAACCCCUUCUGCAACCCAGGCCAGAACCUGCCAAUGCUAACUGCGCAGACAAUAAAGAUAAUAAAAGGAAAGAAUAAAAAUUGGCACAAGUUGAUAAUUCUUUGAUUAAACUUGAAGAAGACAGUAGAUCCAAUGGUACUUACGUGAUCUGACGAAGAAGAAAAGAGAGUAUUAGUCCAGAAUGAAGCAAGCUCAAUCAAUAUAUACCAUGGUGGUAUUUUGUUUAAAAGAAUUUUUUUUUAAUGUUUCUAGGAAUUCUAUAGAAGUUUGAUUGCUGACGAAGUACUAUUAGCUUGGAUUGAAAAGGAAACCACUUUCCACGAUCAAUCGCCAAGAAGUCACAUUCAAAAGAUGCCGAUUGCUCUUUCCCCCACUGCUUUUCGCUGUAAUAUCUUCAACUUACUUAAGUUACUUUACAAAGGUGCUUUUGACAAUCUUAAGUGAUCAGUUGGUCUUUUUAAGUCCUUUUUACGGCUUUUUAAGUCUUUUUUUACGACUUUUGACGGUAAAAUCGUUCUUCAGAAAAUUUGUUUUGAGCCGUGGCUCUUUUUUUCGCAAGAAGCGGUGAGCUCAACACUCGGAUGGAUUCCUUGAUAUAAUUGUGCAAUUUAUGCUGAAAUCACUGCUGCAUUGAACCAAUCAGAUUGCAGGAUUUGCUUGUGAUUUCAAAAUGGAUGUAAUAAAUUUAUUUAUUGAAUGUGUAUUUGAGAUAUAAAGCCGUGUACUUUGGGAGAAGUGAUAUAUUUUUGUUCAGCACAGAAACUGACAUUUUCGUAAAUACUUAAGUCAGGAUUUACUCUAAUUCUACAAAAUUUCGUCACAAAAUUUCGUUAAAAAUUGGGAGUAUCUAACUUGAUUAAAUUUAAGAAAUCGUGAUAAAGUGGCGGGCGUGUCGUUUUUCUGCUCUGUCUAAAGACUAGAUAUAGAUAUAUAGGGAGUUAGAGGAUAUAGCUAUCACCUCUUAAAUAAUACAUGUAUUUGGUUUUCCUAAAAUUAAAAAGAUAUGAAGGGCCACUAGCACUACCAAAUAAGCAUUUAUACAGUAGUACAAGAGACUGAUAUAUUCAUUUCUGCUUUAACAAGUUAGCAAUACUUAGUAAUUGUUCAUAUGGGACAGAUUUCCCAUGAUCCAAUAGUGUUCUGAGGAUAUAAUAAUUGGCGUCGUGUAAACUGUCGCUUUGUACUUUUCCAAUUCCUAAAAGUAGAGGGCCACAAUAAUACUAAUGUGGAAGGAGAAAUGCCUUUAAUAUAAAAUUAUUAGCUUAUCCAUAGGUAAAAACGUCUGAAACAUGAACGGUGAGCUUGUAAUA